rnacentral:rRNA from 1 species
GAUGAACGCUGGCGGCGUGCUUAGCACAUGCAAGUCGAACGGUGAAGGCGGAGCUUGCUCUGCUGGAUCAGUGGCGAACGGGUGAGUAACACGUGAGCAAUCUGCCCCUGACUCUGGGAUAAGCGCUGGAAACGGCGUCUAAUACUGGAUACGAGCUGCGAAGGCAUCUUCAGCAGCUGGAAAGAACUUCGGUCAGGGAUGAGCUCGCGGCCUAUCAGCUUGUUGGUGAGGUAACGGCUCACCAAGGCGUCGACGGGUAGCCGGCCUGAGAGGGUGACCGGCCACACUGGGACUGAGACACGGCCCAGACUCCUACGGGAGGCAGCAGUGGGGAAUAUUGCACAAUGGGCGAAAGCCUGAUGCAGCAACGCCGCGUGAGGGACGACGGCCUUCGGGUUGUAAACCUCGUUUAGCAGGGAAGAAGCGAAAGUGACGGUACCUGCAGAAAAAGCGCCGGCUAACUACGUG